UACGUAGGGCGCAAGCGUUGUCCGGAAUUAUUGGGCGUAAAGAGCUCGUAGGCGGUCUGUCGCGUCUGUUGUGAAAACUCGAGGCUCAACCUCGGGCUUGCAGUGGAUACUGGCAGGCUUGAAUUCGGGAGAGGGAUGUGGAAUUCCAGGUGUAGCGGUGAAAUGCGUAGAUAUCUGGAGGAACACCGGUGGCGAAGGCGGCAUCCUGGACCGAUAUUGACGCUGAUGCGCGAAAGCCAGGGGAGCAAAGCGGG
rnacentral:rRNA from 1 species